rnacentral:rRNA from 1 species
GGGUUGUGAGGUUAAGCGACUAAGCGUACACGGUGGAUGCCCUGGCAGUCAGAGGCGAUGAAGGACGUGCUAAUCUGCGAUAAGCGUCGGUAAGGUGAUAUGAACCGUUAUAACCGGCGAUUUCCGAAUGGGGAAACCCAGUGUGAUUCGUCACACUAUCAUUAACUGAAUCCAUAGGUUAAUGAGGCGAACCGGGGGAACUGAAACAUCUAAGUACCCCGAGGAAAAGAAAUCAACCGAGAUUCCCCCAGUAGCGGCGAGCGAACGGGGAGGAGCCCAGAGCCUGAAUCAGUGUGUGUGUUAGUGGAAGCGUCUGGAAAGGCGCGCGAUACAGGGUGACAGCCCCGUACACAAAAAUGCACAUACUGUGAGCUCGAUGAGUAGGGCGGGACACGUGGUAUCCUGUCUGAAUAUGGGGGGACCAUCCUCCAAGGCUAAAUACUCCUGACUGACCGAUAGUGAACCAGUACCGUGAGGGAAAGGCGAAAAGAACCCCGGCGAGGGGAGUGAAAAAGAACCUGAAACCGUGUACGUACAAGCAGUGGGAGCACGCUUCGGCGUGUGACUGCGUACCUUUUGUAUAAUGGGUCAGCGACUUAUAUUCUGUAGCAAGGUUAACCGAAUAGGGGAGCCGAAGGGAAACCGAGUCUUAACUGGGCGUUAAGUUGCAGGGUAUAGACCCGAAACCCGGUGAUCUAGCCAUGGGCAGGUUGAAGGUUGGGUAACACUAACUGGAGGACCGAACCGACUAAUGUUGAAAAAUUAGCGGAUGACUUGUGGCUGGGGGUGAAAGGCCAAUCAAACCGGGAGAUAGCUGGUUCUCCCCGAAAGCUAUUUAGGUAGCGCCUCGUGAAUUCAUCUCCGGGGGUAGAGCACUGUUUCGGCAAGGGGGUCAUCCCGACUUACCAACCCGAUGCAAACUGCGAAUACCGGAGAAUGUUAUUACGGGAGACACACGGCGGGUGCUAACGUCCGUCGUGAAGAGGGAAACAACCCAGACCGCCAGCUAAGGUCCCAAAGUCAUGGUUAAGUGGGAAACGAUGUGGGAAGGCCCAGACAGCCAGGAUGUUGGCUUAGAAGCAGCCAUCAUUUAAAGAAAGCGUAAUAGCUCACUGGUCGAGUCGGCCUGCGCGGAAGAUGUAACGGGGCUAAACCAUGCACCGAAGCUGCGGCAGCGACACUAUGUGUUGUUGGGUAGGGGAGCGUUCUGUAAGCCUGUGAAGGUGGCCUGUGAGGGUUGCUGGAGGUAUCAGAAGUGCGAAUGCUGACAUAAGUAACGAUAAAGCGGGUGAAAAGCCCGCUCGCCGGAAGACCAAGGGUUCCUGUCCAACGUUAAUCGGGGCAGGGUGAGUCGACCCCUAAGGCGAGGCCGAAAGGCGUAGUCGAUGGGAAACAGGUUAAUAUUCCUGUACUUGGUGUUACUGCGAAGGGGGGACGGAGAAGGCUAUGUUGGCCGGGCGACGGUUGUCCCGGUUUAAGCGUGUAGGCUGGUUUUCCAGGCAAAUCCGGAAAAUCAAGGCUGAGGCGUGAUGACGAGGCACUACGGUGCUGAAGCAACAAAUGCCCUGCUUCCAGGAAAAGCCUCUAAGCAUCAGGUAACAUCAAAUCGUACCCCAAACCGACACAGGUGGUCAGGUAGAGAAUACCAAGGCGCUUGAGAGAACUCGGGUGAAGGAACUAGGCAAAAUGGUGCCGUAACUUCGGGAGAAGGCACGCUGAUAUGUAGGUGAAGUCCCUUGCGGAUGGAGCUGAAAUCAGUCGAAGAUACCAGCUGGCUGCAACUGUUUAUUAAAAACACAGCACUGUGCAAACACGAAAGUGGACGUAUACGGUGUGACGCCUGCCCGGUGCCGGAAGGUUAAUUGAUGGGGUUAGCGGUAACGCGAAGCUCUUGAUCGAAGCCCCGGUAAACGGCGGCCGUAACUAUAACGGUCCUAAGGUAGCGAAAUUCCUUGUCGGGUAAGUUCCGACCUGCACGAAUGGCGUAAUGAUGGCCAGGCUGUCUCCACCCGAGACUCAGUGAAAUUGAACUCGCUGUGAAGAUGCAGUGUACCCGCGGCAAGACGGAAAGACCCCGUGAACCUUUACUAUAGCUUGACACUGAACAUUGAGCCUUGAUGUGUAGGAUAGGUGGGAGGCUUUGAAGUGUGGACGCCAGUCUGCAUGGAGCCGACCUUGAAAUACCACCCUUUAAUGUUUGAUGUUCUAACGUUGACCCGUGAUCCGGGUUGCGGACAGUGUCUGGUGGGUAGUUUGACUGGGGCGGUCUCCUCCUAAAGAGUAACGGAGGAGCACGAAGGUUGGCUAAUCCUGGUCGGACAUCAGGAGGUUAGUGCAAUGGCAUAAGCCAGCUUGACUGCGAGCGUGACGGCGCGAGCAGGUGCGAAAGCAGGUCAUAGUGAUCCGGUGGUUCUGAAUGGAAGGGCCAUCGCUCAACGGAUAAAAGGUACUCCGGGGAUAACAGGCUGAUACCGCCCAAGAGUUCAUAUCGACGGCGGUGUUUGGCACCUCGAUGUCGGCUCAUCACAUCCUGGGGCUGAAGUAGGUCCCAAGGGUAUGGCUGUUCGCCAUUUAAAGUGGUACGCGAGCUGGGUUUAGAACGUCGUGAGACAGUUCGGUCCCUAUCUGCCGUGGGCGCUGGAGAACUGAGGGGGGCUGCUCCUAGUACGAGAGGACCGGAGUGGACGCAUCACUGGUGUUCGGGUUGUCAUGCCAAUGGCACUGCCCGGUAGCUAAAUGCGGAAGAGAUAAGUGCUGAAAGCAUCUAAGCACGAAACUUGCCCCGAGAUGAGUUCUCCCUGACUCCCUGAGAGUCCUGAAGGAACGUUGAAGACGACGACGUUGAUAGGCCGGGUGUGUAAGCGCAGCGAUGCGUUGAGCUAACCGGUACUAAUGAACCGUGAGGCUUAACCUUACAACGCCGAAG